GACAUAUGUGGGAUGUUUAAAUAUGUCCAAGAUUACUUUCUUUAGGGAAACACUCUUCUCCAUACCAUGCAGGUCUGACAGACUACAAUGGAGAUAUCCAGCCCUGUGUUGAGUGGGUAAGAUUAUUUCCUUCUGUAGAAUGACUAAUCUCAGGAUAGAAGCAGAGAUCCCAACAGUUCUUCUCUGGAUUGAUACUGGGCAGAAUGGACAGCACCGUGGCAGGCAUAUGAGUCAGCCUGGACUGAGAAUUAGGGUCAGACUUAAAGCAAUAUAACAAUAAGGACUGCUACGUUUGGCUACAAAAAGAGGGGCCAGGAGAAAAACAUUUGCCCACAUAAAUACCAAGUAACUCAUUCAGGUGAAAAAGAAUUGCAAGAAAAAUAGCAUGAGCACAACAUGAACAUUUCUUCUGACUGAGAAUGCCAACAAAGACAAAGGAGGUGUCAGCGCUUUUGGGAGUUCACAGCAUACUCAAAGUGAGUGGAACAUUUGAUGGAGCCGUCAAGAGCCGUGAGAGAGCUUGACAACAGUCCGGCUGCGGCAGCAGUC